rnacentral:rRNA from 1 species
AUAAAUAUCAAUGCGGAGCCCAAUGGGUUUUGCAAUUGGAAUGAGAACAAUUUAAAUCCCUUACCGAGUAUCAAUUGGAGGGCAAGUCUGGUGCCAGCAGCCGCGGUAAUUCCAGCUCCAAUAGCGUAUAUUAAAGUUGUUGCGGUUAAAAAGCUCGUAGUUGGAGUUCUGCCAGGUGACUUUCGUCCGCCCAAGUGGUGUGUACAGGGAGUGCAUCUGGCCCUUUCAAGGGGAACGUGUCUGCACUUCAUUGUGUGGUGCGAGAUCCUUGACUUUUACUUUGAGGAAAUAAGAGUGUUCCAAGCAGGCUCUCGUCGUGCAUAGCUCAGCAUGGAAUAAUAGCAUUGGACUUCGUUUCUACGCUGUUGGUUGCAAGAAGCGAGGUAAUGAUGAAGAGGGAUAGUUGGGGGCAUUCGUAUUUAACUGUCAGAGGUGAAAUUCUUGGACUUGUUAAAGACGGACUACUGCGAAAGCAUCUGCCAUGGAUGUUUUCAUUGAUCAAGAACGAAAGUUAGGGGAUCGAAGACGAUCAGAUACCGUCCUAGUCUUAACUAUAAACCAUGCCGGCUAGAGAUCGGAGGUCGUUCGAUUUGUGACACCUUCAGCAUCUUGAGAGAAAUCAAAGCCUUUGGGUUCCGGGGGGAGUAUGGUCGCAAGGCUGAAAUCCAUA